ACCACUCCCAGUAAACUUCUUUGGUGUUUUCAGAGAUCAGAAAAUCUCUUCUGCUGUCCCAAGGGUCUUUAACAAUACUCAGUUGAAGUUCAUUAAGCCAGGGAGGGAUGGCAAUACACAUUACUAUUCUCCAUAAUUCCUGCCAUCACAAACCAUUUUCUGGCUUCUCCUCACCUUGCUCUGAAGUGGUUUUUCCUUUGGUUUACAGUGGUUUUUUUAUUCAAGAUUUGGGAAGAAGGGGGUACAUUGUGAUGAAACCUUCUGUAAAAUCACUGACACCAUCACACUGCAGUUAGGGCUUUGUUCUGUUUGCCUUAAGGCACGAGCCAAGACUGGAUGGUUCUAGAUCAGGAAAGAAGAAAUGGGGAAGGCAAAACCACAUAAAAGCUUUUCUCCUCCAUUGAAGAUUCCCAGAAGAAAUCACAGAUAUGUUAGGUCAGCCUUACAGAAAUUGUUCUUUAAAAAAACACAAGUAAAAAGAAAAUAAGUAAGACCCAAAGAGUGUUCAAUAUCUGAAUUAUUUCAUGGUAGUGUUGGGAAAGCAGUAGCAGAAUAAUUUUGUGGUUUGGUUGUUGUUUUCAAGACAAGACAGCUUUGUAAAGUUGCAUGAGAGGGAACAGAAGCCUCUUAGUUAGGAUUUAUAAAUAUAAAACAUCCUAGGGCUGCUGUCCCUUUCCUCUUCUCCGGGAUCAUUAUUCUCAAGAAGCCACCUGUAAUUUUCUUUGUAAAUUUUCUGUGCUGCAUGUAAAACAAGGAAGGAAGAAACGGGGAAAAACAAAACAACAACAAAAAUCACAAAAAAAAUUGUUGAACAAGACCCAGUAAAUUCAGUAUUUUUGAAAUUGUUUGAUUUUCAAGGAGGGACAUCUCCAGUUCUUGGUUGUAGUGUAUGAGGAGGGGAAGGUUACUGCUGCUUUAACCACUGUCAGCUCCAUUUUACUCCCAAGAUGACACACUUACAAAUUGAAUUUAUAGUUGACUGCAAAUAUGAGAAACACCAGUGCUAAUAUUUCUCAGUGUUUCUCUGUGGGUUUUGUGUCUUAUAUGUAGAAGUUUUUUCAGUAAAAGAUAAAGAAUACAGCACGAGCAAAUGCUUCCUUUUCCCCAUAGUUAAAUGAGUCACAGAUUAAACAAAGACUGAAGUUCGGGGUCUGACUUAAGAGUCUCUUUCAUUUCUGCUACCCCUAGUGUUCUGUCUUACAGGCUGUCACGUUUUCAUUCCUUCUAAACCCUUUCAUCAUGACACUAAUGUGCAUAAAGAGUCCCAUGGCAAUAGCAAGAAUAAUAUUUAGGUCUCUAAACCAGAGCUUUUAUCCUUACUCCCCAAAAGAAUGUCAGCUCUGACAGAGCUGGUCAAAAUGCCACUUUCAGUUCCUGCCAGCUCUUACACUGUGGUGGUGCAUCUGAAUCUGAAUUGCAGCAGCUUGAGUCAAUUUUCAAUUCUUUUUUCUUUCACAGGAAUGACUGGAGCCCCUGGAGAGGAAAGACUGACCUGUUCCUCUUGCUUCCUCCAGCUCCUUCUUGAUGCCUCACUGACUUGCCUAGUCCCCUCUUUCUAUGCUUCUCUUCAUCCCCUGCAUCCAUUUCCUGCAAAAGAAGAUGUUUUGCCACAUGGUGAGAAAGGCUCAAGGAAAAAGUGGAACCCUGUGUGUUGCAGAGAUACAAAUGCUGGAUCAAGGACACGUGUGCUGAGAGAUGCCAGCAGAAAUGUGGCAGACAAGUCAGUAAGAAAACUUCAGUGAUAGAGAAUCACAUUUUGCUGCUUUAUGAUAAUAACUGGAGACUGGAAACAAGCCUUUCAAUAAUUUCAGAUUUUCCACACUUCAGACUUUUCCAGCCAGUUUAUGGUUCCUGUACUUUAGCCUUCUGCUAAAAAUAACAAUAAUUACCUCCCACUGAUUUUAAUCCACCAAAGACAGGAGAAGUUGGAGUCCUCCUGCAGUCAGGCUGCAGGGAAUUGCCAGAUUUUGAGCUGCCAUUUGGUCUAAAUUGCAGACAGCAGAGCUGUACCUGAGAUUUAUAGAGCAGUUGUGCUACUUUACCAAGCUAAGUGUUGUCAGGAAGACACUGGAAACAGCAACAAGGAGCAAGAAUGGGAGCUGAGAGGGGAAUUAAUUCCAAGUCUUGCACUGUAACAGCCUCCCAUGCCAAGACUGCCAUAGUGAUGAACUGAAGUGAGGAUGAAGGCAGCAGUGAGGGAGACUGGCUUUUUUUUUUGGUGCCCAAGAGUGGCUCCUCUUUGGGGUUUUGUCCUUCCUGUGCUAAGCUUUCACAAGUGGCAUGAACCUUUCUGACAGCUGGGAGCCCACAGGUGUCUGUCACAGCCAGAGUUUUAUGGGAUUCUACUGGAGACAGCCCCACAUAUCCAUCCAUCCAUCCAUCCAUCCAUCCAUCCAUCCAUCCAUCCAUCCAUCCAUCCAUCCAUCUCACAGCAGGCUGCUCUCUGCUCUGCUCUCAUCAGCUGCUGCUGCCUCUGGCCAUUCAAGCUUUCUGCUUCUUCAAAACCACAGCUGAAACCUUGUUUUGGUGAGCUAAGAUAAAGUCAAUGUAGCGUGGUUCCAUCCUUCCUGCCACUGUUAGUCUGGCCAGCCAUGGAAACACCUGUCCUCCUUCAUGUCUCAGCAAGCCUGUGGAAAAUAACCCCACUGACCUCUAACUUCAAAGAGACUCAGGGAGCAAAUUCUCUUUCCAGUUAAAUGGAGUGAAUCGCUCAAAUUCUCUUUGCUCAACUCUUGUAUUUACUGAUCUGUCAGCAUAUUAACAUUUUGGAAAUACACUCUGUAGACUUUCACUCAUUUUUUUAAAAUAAAUUACAUACACAGUGCAAAAUAAAGCCUGUUUUCUUCAGGUAAAGCAUUACUCACCUGUGAAAAACCUGUGUUAUUUCUAUAAGUUUCCUGCAGGCAAUUUGCAGUAGUCAAUUAGGCAGCAAAAAAAAAGAAUGUGAUCCCUGAACUGCAUGCUGUGGAUCAAACUCAGUGAAAUACUUAACUGACUGCAGAAAAAAAAUUGUUCUUAUGAAAAAUUAUUGACAGAAAAAAUAUUCCAAGUCAGUAAUAAUUUAAAAAAUUAAAGCAACGAAUUAUUGCCAGACUGCAGAUUUUGUCAGAAGCCUGGACUAUCAGUGGUUCUGAGGAUUGCUGUGAUGACUGGUGGUUCACAAACUCUCCUUGGGAAUCCCUUUUCCAAAUCAUAACUGAAAUUAUGACAACUUUUAAGUCCAAUUUGGUUUCUAUACAACAGGCAGAAAUAUGAUAUCGCUGUGCAAUUAUUCACAUGUUUUUCGGUUGAUUUGGUUUUGUUGGGGUUUUUUUAUCUCUAAGGACAACUGACAUUCUGUGCUUUUGUCUGGUGAAUGGGAGCAGCGUCUGCAGCUGAGACUAGGUAUGGAUUUACUUGGAUAUGGAAAUAUUGAUGGGCUUGACUUUCCUUUGAAACCUGAAGAAUGCUAAGUCAGCAUUGUGACAGCUGUGCCUCUGCUCACGUUUUGAACAAACUUUGUUUUGGAUUCCUGGGCUUGACUGGUUCUUAGCUUUAUAUUUAUUUUGCACUUUGAAGUUCAUGUUACCAGAUAGGUGUUCCUGCCUCUUUUUUUCUCCAUUUUGUUAUAG